rnacentral:lncRNA from 1 species
AAGAUAAAGGAGGAUCAACGGAGCAAAGGAUAUAUUCAAGUCGACUUUCAUUCUUCACGUGAUGAUUAGAAGUUUCACACAGCCUUUAGAGCAUCAAAACAUGCAUUUCAGAAUUCAUGAAAUGAGAUUUAAGGUAAACUGGUGAUGAGCUUCACUUGUCAGUUGUCAUACAUCUAUGAGAGAUUUAGAGGGUGUUUAUUUGGAGGAUUAGCCUAUUGAUAGAUAAAAAUAGUAAGACAAAUCCCUUGUUUACUUUGAUGGAUUAUAACUUUGAAAUAUCCCAAUGCCCUUGAUUAUUUUCUAACGUUCAAACUAGUUUUGCUUGAUUAUCAUUCCAUUGAAAGGGUGAGAUUGGAGAUAUCAUACUCUUGAAGAUAAAAAUAUUCAAUCAUGCAAAGUAAACAUCCCUUUAGUAUUUAAGUAGUUGUGCUUUUGAUUGUGAUUGUUAUUGAUAUUUGCUAAGGGGGUGUUUACUUUGCAUAUUGAUAAUAUGUGUGAUUUUUUGGUGACCCGCAUGAGGGUCACCGUUGUGGACAGUCUAAGUAUCAUAGUUUACAUCCUUAGAGCAUCUCCAAUGAAGGAGAAAAC